CACACCUUCAGAGUGAUCCAGAAUCAAGAGAUCCAGAAUCUGUGGAGUGGAGCAAACACUGGCCAGAGUGCCUGUUUGGGAAUUAAAACCAUAAAAUACUCAGACUAUGAUCUAGCACUGCAUGAAGAUUCUCUGAGACAGAAUUCCACUCCCAAGGAUCAGACAGUGUCCUUCAGGUCUGCCAUUACCCUCUGACCUCAGUGAGAGGAUGAAGGAGACCAGGAUUUAUUCGAUCUACGACCAUGUCUGGACCUCUUUCUUGGAUUCACAAAGCUUAUGCAACCAGCUCCAGGAGACCUUACCAUACAGAAGAAUUAAGAAAGUGAUCAGGCCAUCAAGUAUCUUCACUGACAAAAUCAAGACUUCAAGGGAAAAAUGUGGAGCUACACUCCACAAAAGAAAACCAAGACCAUUGUUUUCAGCCUUCUUGGGAGCCUGAGAGGAUUUGACCAGUCGAGGAAUGAUUGAAAUCAAUCAGUGGAAAACAGUCUAGAUUGAAGCAUCUACACUUUGGUCUUCCUUCUUCUUAAGCUCCAUAUGGAGCCAUACUAAUGUAAGUGAGUUUCCAUGGGAGGCUGCCAUGCCCUGUUUCACAUGACUGCUGUAACUCCUGCCUGGACAACAGAUAUCCAGGCUGCAGGGUCCUAGUGAGAACUCACCUCCAUGCUAAAAGGUACAAGAAGAGUCUUGCCUGCCUGCAUGCUCUGCAGAGAUGCAUUCAGUUUUCUGUGGUGCUGGGGCCUCAACUUCUCUGGGAACUACAACCCAUGAUGUGUACUCUGUGUCUCUGUCAGUUUAUG